GUUCAAACUACAAAUCAACUUCUCACGUGAGGAAUCCCAACGCCUCAAUUAGAUAACAGCCGAUUUAAGCUCUCACACACAUACACACACGAACAGAAGCGAGACUGUCCAGGACAAGUUUUUAAGAAAGGGAGGUUUGAUGGGCGCGGAGCCCGGCCCGCGUGGUCUCUCUCCCCUCCCCGUUUACUACUUUCUGCUGCGGGUUUGGUUGCUCCACACACGCGCACAUAAAGCUGCUCUGGGCUUUCGACGUUCAAAAUCUUCCACGCUUGGAAGAGGGACAAUCGAAAACCUACCGCAAAGAAAGGCUGCGACAUUCUCUCUACGUUUUGCAACGCGAUCGGAAGAAAGGGGGGAGGGGUAGAGAGAGACGAAGAAAGGAGAUCAAAUGCAAUAUAAUGGCCACCCAUUACCCUUCCUCACCAUCGUCGGGCUAGCAGCUCAGAAGGGUUUGGGCAAAGUGUCUCGACGAGCACCACUUAGUGGGUGGCAAAUGGAGCUCUUAGUAGAAUCAGUGGAUUUAAUGGGGACGAAUCAUCCUUUCGUAUCAGAUUAUCCAUGUGCGACGCGCCACUACCACAUUUUUGUCUGCGAUUUCGUGUUUGGUGGCUGUCUUGCGUUCUUGUUGGCCAUUGGGUACAAGCCAGAGAAAGACCGAGGGGUCUUGUAGAGGGCGGGAGGAGGGAGAAACGUGGGUCUCCUUGAAACAGCUCCCCCUCCCACCUAACCCCCUUCCUUCCUGCAUAGUAAUGUUUCUGGCGGUUUGAUGAGCGUUGGUUGCAGCGAUUCCAGCGCUCAACAUUAUGAAUCGAAGGACAAAGGGGGUGGAGGCCAGUUGGAGGGUGAUUAAAAAGUGGGAGUACGCAGGGGCAGAGAAGAGUGCUCCUCCAGACAUGUUACCCACCCCGACAAGCUGCUUCCUUCCCUUUUUCUUUUAAUUCUAGUUAAUGGUGGUUUUCUAGCUCAGAAAAUGGGAAUGACGACACAACACAGCCUUCGGAUUACCAAAGCACACAGAAGAAUCCACCUACCUACCCUCAUUCUCCCCUCCCCCAUUAGGUUCAAGGGACCAUUCAUAAUUUUCAACAUUGGUAAAGAGCACAAUGGUGCGUUUGUGGGGGAGGGGUUAAGAGUGUGUGGAGCCUUGUUCCAGUACAAACAAAAUGUUGCCUGAAGAUGAAGAAAGGAUACGGAAAUGAAAGCCAGCACUGUAUUUAAUAUAUAGGAAUCCAGUUCCCGGGAUUCUCUGCAAGCAAUAUGGAGAACUUUCAUUCUGCUUUUCGGAAUACAGCAGAGCUGCCUAUUAUAGCUGAUAAGGGGGGGGGUCGAGAAAACUGCUUUUCACCCGGGGGUGGGGCGACCUGGGGAAAAUGGACGCCUGAAGCUGCAGAAACUCGGGAAAGUAAAGUAAUAAUCCCAAACCUACCAACAUGUUUUUUUAAAAGUGUCACAGUACAUUGUUUGUCUCCCCAUCCUUUCCUCAACCCCCCUCCUCGCCUCUCAUUUUGCCUUUGGCAUAACGUACUACAGCAUGCCACGGACACAGAUGUAAUCGGCUUGAGCAUACCCACAGCUGACUCAUGUGAACACCCUUUUAAGACACGUUUCCUCCCUCUUCCUGCGCCGUAUGUCAUAACGACGUACCACGCUGAUACUCUCCUACCUUUUUCUCCCACCCCUCUCCCGGUUGGGGGAAGAAAACUAGCUAUGACCUGAAAAACAAAGCCACCCUUCUAGUUGGUAUAUGUUUUCAGACCUGCUUCCAGUACUAAGAAACUGCGAAGUCGCCCUUCUACCCCCCACCCCUUGGGAAAAAACGUCGGAGCGAACUUCCUCACGUAGAACGAGGUUGCACUUCAGCAACAAGCGCAAGCUGCAUGGGAGUAGCCGUAGUAAUCAUAGUAAGGCGCGCGUGAGCUCAGGGAUGUGACUCCCUGUCUGUGUGUAACAGGCCGGCGUCCGAUUGGUCGAGGGCUGCACCUACCAGCGCUCUCAGUCUCGUUUACACUGGUGCCACCGGCUCUCUGAUUUGUUCCCUCUUCUCUCCAUUCACUGGCUUCUUGGGCAGUCCCUGCCGCUCUCGUCUUUGUGGCGCGAAACUAGGCUCGUCUCCUCGCGCCAUUACAUCUUGGGCAUCUCUUUUGUUUGGCACAGUUGUGAAACAGUUUAUAAAGCUUCUUUGAAGCCUAGAUAUUAAGAAGAAAGAUGAUCAACAAAUCAACAUGAUAUAAUGAGCAUAGUGAUAAAUCAAAGAUGCAAUGUGAUUUUGUCCAAGAUUGCAACUGUCCAGAUGUUUUUGUACCAGACCUGUAUGUCCAACCCAUUCACAAGUUUCCAGUGUUGCAGUACUGAUAUUCUUGCCGCAAAUAACAAUUUGGAAGCAAGAUUUUUAGAUUUCAGCGUAUUGUUUUCACCUUUGAAUAAAGACAAUA